UACGUAGGAUGCAAGCGUUGUCCGGAUUUACUGGGCGUAAAGCGCGCGCAGGCGGCAGUACAAGUACCCUCUGAAAUCUCCUUGCUCAACGAGGAGGGUGGAGGGUAGACUGUGCAGCUAGAGGAGGGUAGAGGGGGGUAGAAUUGCUGGUGUAGCGGUGAAAUGCGUAGAGAUCAGCAGGAAUACCCGUGGCGAAGGCGGCCCCCUGGGCCCUAAAGCCUUCUCUUUGAGAGGACAUUGGUUUACCAGUGUUACUCAAGAGAGAAACCUGACGCUGAGGCGCGAAGGCUAGGGGAGCGAACGGG
rnacentral:rRNA from 1 species